UUUUGGAGAAGCACGCGCGUCACGUCACCCCAUCGUGAGAGACCACACUGUUGGAUUCCACCACUUGUUGACAGCAGGAGCCUCCGCGCUGCACAUGGCUCGUGUUACUAUACCUUCUGCUCUUUGGGUUUUUCCCCCCUCUUCUUCUUCUUCUUCUUCUUCUUUUUUGUUUCCUCCUCUCUUUCUGGCAGCAGGCGCACAGAGUCGCUGUCAUUCCGCGCAACACUCGCCCACAGAGGAGGAAUCCAGAGAGUCGACUUGUUGCGGCUGCGUCCCGGAGCUGUCAAACACUGCGCACAGCCUCCAGCCCGCGGAGCCUCCGGACCGAUCCAAGCGGACAAACAACCGGGCCCGCGAUCCUCGUCCUUCUCUCGGUCUCAUUUUGGGUUGUUUUUAAAAACUCCAGUCUGGUUUUUUGGAAAAUCUUUAUUUUUUUUUUUGCUCCUGUCACAUGGCUGCUGGGAGAAUUCAAUAACAACAAAAAAUGGCGACAAUCACGUUGCUCCGUGUGGUCUUGCUGCGUCAUUAAAGAUAUUCACGUAAACACGGGGCGCUGACCGGGGGAGACAGUGGAGCCCCUGUGCAAGCUAAUGGAGUUGUUUACAAGAAGUGCGGAGGGGCGGGGCGAGGAGGAGGAGGAGCCGUGACGUCGCGGGCGACGCGACCUGACUGUUCGAGAGGCUGCACGCGCCAGGGGGAGGCAGGGAGCAGGAUCAUAACAAGUCUGACGUCACUCGGCCUGUGGUUGGAAUGAAUAAUUUACAGAGGGUAAAAAAGUAAUUUAAAAAAAAGUGGUUUUCCUCCAUCAGGAAAAGAGGUGAAGGUGCAAAUAUGGAGCUCAUUUUUUAAUUUUGUGUUUCAAUAUUUUACCAAUUAGAGUGCGAGUCAUUUUCAUCUCCAGGGUAGUAAAUAAAUAAUAACUUUAUUUGACUUUAUUUAUAGAGGGCUUAUUAAUAAUCUAAGUUACAAAGUGCCUUAUGCAAGGGCGGCAAAAUAUAACAGAUUAAGGAUCACAAUUAUUUUAAGACAAUGUUUAUUUCAAAGUACUCAACUCAAAGAACUCAAAAACAAAUGGAAUUCUUUUAAAUAACUUAAAAAAAUUCAAUGAAAUAGAAUUGAAAUUCAGUUAAAAUCUAUUUUGCAGACAGUCAGCAAAUCGAAAUGUAGCUAAUUAAAAAAUAUAUAUUUAUUAUAUUUUAUUGUAUUACAUAAUGGAAGCAAGCAUUUUAAAUUUUUGUCUCUAAUUUAACAAGGAGACUAAACCAAUUUCCAGCAAUCGGAUCCUGUUUCAGACUCGAUCACAGAAGUAAAGUGUAGUACGGUUAAGUUGAUAAGAUAAAAUACGAUUAGAUAAAAUAUUGAUUCACUUGUUACAGCACAAAAUAGUCAGAAUGAGGUAGACCAGACAGUAAAUAAGGCAGUAAAAUAAAAAUAGAAAAUGUAAUUAAAAUUCAGAGAAUAAGUACAUAAAAUACACUUUCCACCAGGGAAAUUGUGUAGGGAAAUGAACUUGAGUAAAGUGCAGUGUGCAAAACAGUAAACUGUGUUUGUGCAUAAGUAUAAGGACUGUAAUAGACGUAAUUAUAUAAGUGGCAAAAUACCAAUAAAGUUUAAAAAAAAGAGUAGUAGCCAAUGCAUAUAAAUUACUUUAAACAGACAAACAUAUAAAAAAAUCAAUACAUAUAUCAAUAAAUACAUUUUUUUAAAAGAAUGCUCUGUUAUAGUUAUAGCUACAAUGGUUUGUCCAAUGAUUGAUGAGUCGACAAACAAGAUUCAUUCUGAGAUCGGAAUAAUCAUUUUAUUGCCAAAAUGCUAAAUAUUUUCAUAUAACAGCUACUCUAAUGUCCUGGUUGGCUGCUUUUGAUUUAUAAUACACUCGAUUAAAUGUCUUUUUACUACUUGUCAAAUUUGUUAUCAACUUAAAAAGCUAAUUGAUUAAUCCAAACAAAUUGAUAAUAUCAAUUAUUUAUUCAACAUUUACUUUCUACAUCUACUCUUAGUUGUACAAUAUAACGACCAAUGUAUGGUGACAUUAUUUUUUCGAACAGGCAAAUUAAAUAAAUAAAUCAGACUAAAUAAGUUGCUAAGAUCCUUUAACAAUGUCCUGGUUUGCAUGCACGUAGGAGCUUGUUCUUUCCUCUAAUACUUACUGCUGAGCCACUUUCCCUUUAUAUAACUUUUAAGAGAAGGAUAUGGUUUCAAGGAAAUUCAGAAAAUAAGAAAUAUUUGAGCCUGUGGCAACAUAAAUAUGUGACACGUACAAAACCUUGUAUAUUGUAAGAUUCAACCAAAUGUCCAGCAUAUUUGCAAAAGGAAAACUGUUUUAGUUGAGCUGGGAUACUAUGGACUGGAUGACGGAGUGGAGCUGUGCACUAAUAGACUUGUCAGACUGCCCUGGUUCAGUUAUCACAGUGCUGAUGCUGUCCCCAUCGAAGGUACAGUACUGUGAUAACUGAAGGAUGGCUGCCAACUUGACUCCAGUGCCGAGGACCAAGGUGCAUUCCCCUAAUGAUCCAGAGGAGCAGAGAGGAGCUCACCAAGCGUGAGUAUGUGAUUAAAACAGAAAAUUGAGUUGUGACUAAUCUUGUUAUUGUGUGUUAAAGUGCAAGAAGUAUCCCAACUUGUAUGUUAUACUUGUACUUCCUUCUUGAAUAUAAGAAAUAAAGUGAACUGUCAAUUAUUGAAA